GAUGAACGCUGGCGGCGUGCCUAAUACAUGCAAGUCGAGCGAACAGACGAGGAGCUUGCUCCUCUGACGUUAGCGGCGGACGGGUGAGUAACACGUGGAUAACCUACCUAUAAGACUGGGAUAACUUCGGGAAACCGGAGCUAAUACCGGAUAAUAUAUUGAACCGCAUGGUUCAAUAGUGAAAGACGGUUUUGCUGUCACUUAUAGAUGGAUCCGCGCCGCAUUAGCUAGUUGGUAAGGUAACGGCUUACCAAGGCGACGAUGCGUAGCCGACCUGAGAGGGUGAUCGGCCACACUGGAACUGAGACACGGUCCAGACUCCUACGGGAGGCAGCAGUAGGGAAUCUUCCGCAAUGGGCGAAAGCCUGACGGAGCAACGCCGCGUGAGUGAUGAAGGUCUUCGGAUCGUAAAACUCUGUUAUUAGGGAAGAACAAAUGUGUAAGAAACUAUGCACGUCUUGACGGUACCUAAUCAGAAAGCCACGGCUAACUACGUG
rnacentral:rRNA from 1 species